GCCAACUAUGCACUCUUUGAUCAAUAUAUUGCAUGAAAUAUUACAGGGAAUCAGAUACUUCCUCAACAUUUCUUCGAACAAUCCUAAUCCUUUAUCAAUGGGCCCAGCAUUGCAGAAUGAUUUUAUUAGGCCAUUUUAAGUGAUUUCAUCAAGAGGGCAUCCUCUAAAUAACAUAUCAUUUACAAGCUUGAGUGCUUCUUGCAUUGCACCUCUCCCUAAAAGAGCAUGAAUCAAUGUGUUGCAAGUUACAGUGUUGGCAGUAAUACCCUCUAAUAACAUAUCACGGUACAGUCCAAAUCCUAAGGUUUCCUCCAUCUUAUCAACCAUGCACAAACCAAAUAUUAGACUACUAAAUGCAACACUAGGGCAGUUACCGGCUACCAGUAUCUCCAACACAACA
rnacentral:misc_RNA from 1 species